GAUGAACGCUAGCUACAGGCUUAACACAUGCAAGUCGAGGGGCAGCAUGACGAUAGCUUGCUAUUGUUGAUGGCGACCGGCGCACGGGUGAGUAACGCGUAUCCAACCUGCCCUUGUCCACCGGAUAACCCGUCGAAAGGCGGACUAACACGGUAUGCAGUCCACAGCAGACAUCUAACGUGGACGAAAUGUGAAGGAGAAGGAUGGGGAUGCGUCUGAUUAGCUUGUUGGCGGGGUAACGGCCCACCAAGGCGACGAUCAGUAGGGGUUCUGAGAGGAAGGUCCCCCACAUUGGAACUGAGACACGGUCCAAACUCCUACGGGAGGCAUCAGUGAGGAAUAUUGGUCAAUGGGCGAGAGCCUGAACCAGCCAAGUAGCGUGCAGGAAGACGGCCCUAUGGGUUGUAAACUGCUUUUAUACGGGGAUAAAGUGAGUCACGUGUGGCUUAUUGCAGGUACCGUAUGAAUAAGGACCGGCUAAUUCCGUGCCAGCAGCCGCCGUAA
rnacentral:rRNA from 1 species